AACCAGCACCUCAAGUGGUCAGGAUGAUUAUUGGGCCUAAAGCAUCCGUAGCCGGCUCUGUAAGUUUUCGGUUAAAUCUGUACGCUUAACGUACAGGCUGCCGGGAAUACUGCAGAGCUAGGUAGUGGGAGAGGUAGACGGUACUCGGUAGGAAGGGGUAAAAUCCUUUGAUCUAUUGAUGACCACCUGUGGCGAAGGCGGUCUACCAGAACACGUACGACGGUGAGGGAUGAAAGCUGGGGGAGCAAACCGGAUUAGAUACCCGGGUAGUCCCAGCUGUAAACUAUGCAAACCCAGUGAUGCAUUGGCUUGUGGCCAAUGCAGUGCUGCAGGGAAGCCGUUAAGUUUGCCGCCUGGGAAGUACGUACGCAAGUAUGAAACUUAAAGGAAUUGGCGGGGGAGCACCACAAGGGGUGAAGCCUGCGGUUCAAUUGGAGUCAACGCCAGAAAUCUUACCCGGAGAGACAGCAGAAUGAAGGUCAAGCUGAAGACUUUACCAGACAAGCUGAGAGGUGGUGCAUGGCCGUCGCCAGCUCGUGCCGUGAGAUGUCCUGUUAAGUCAGGUAACGAGCGAGAUCCCUGCCUCUAGUUGCCACCAUUACUCUCAGGAGUAGUGGGGCGAAUUAGCGGGACCGCCGCAGUUAAUGCGGAGGAAGGAAGGGGCCACGGCAGGUCAGUAUGCCCCGAAACUCUGGGGCCACACGCGGGCUGCAAUGGUAACGACAAUGGGUUUCGAAUUCGAAAGGAUGAGGUAAUCCUCAAACGUUACCACAGUUAUGACUGAGGGCUGCAACUCGCCCUCACGAAUAUGGAAUCCCUAGUAACUGCGUGUCACUAUCGCGCGGUGAAUACGUCCCUGCUCCU
rnacentral:rRNA from 1 species